GAGCAGUCGGUGCGCCAUCGACCGACUCAUCGGCCGCCCUUCUUCCGGGCAAGGCGGCGCCCUUGCCCGACGACCCCUCGGACGGGACUUCGACGAGCACUAUCGACGCCGACAGUGCGAUGACGGGCUCCACCUCCGACCCGGUCGGUUCGCUUGACGGAGCUACGUGGGGCCUCUUGGGAGGCCGCGACGGCCUGGCCCCUUGUGCCGGCCUCUUUCGAACGGCGUACUGACGUACGUCGGCUGCCGUCAGUCUUGAUCUCGACGGCAUAUCUGCAAACAACGACAAACGGUCAGCACCAUAAAGAAAAGAUAAAAAGAAGAAAAAAGGGA
rnacentral:lncRNA from 1 species